rnacentral:rRNA from 1 species
UCUUCCCUCUGGCGGCGUGCCUAAUACAUGCAAGUCGAGCGAACGGACGAGAAGCUUGCUUCUCUGAUGUUAGCGGCGGACGGGUGAGUAACACGUGGAUAACCUACCUAUAAGACUGGGAUAACUUCGGGAAACCGGAGCUAAUACCGUAUGAUAUUUUGAACCGCAUGGUUCAAAAGUGAAAGACGGUCUUGCUGUCACUUAUAGAUGGAUCCGCGCUGCAUUAGCUAGUUGUUAAGGUAACGGCUUACCAAGGCAACGAUGCAUAGCCGACCUGAGAGAGUGAUAGGCCACACUGGAACUGAGACACGGUCCAGACUCCUACGGGAGGCAGCAGUAGGGAAUCUUACGCAAUGGGCGAAAGCCUGACGGAGCAACGCCGCGUGAGUGAUGAAGGUCUUCGGAUCGUAAAACUCUGUUAUUAGGGAAGAACAUAUGUGUAAGUAACUGUGCACAUCUUGACGGUAACUAAUCAGAAAGCCACGGCUAACUACGUG